AGCAGCCGCGGUAAUUCCAGCUCCAAUAGCGUAUAUUAAAGUUGUUGCAGUUAAAAAGCUCGUAGUUGAAUUUCGGGAUCAGUAUGUUGGUCGUGCUUCGGUACGUACUGUCAUUACUGGUUUCUACCUUCUGAAGAACCUUGAUGUCAUUAAUUUGGUGUCUUGGGGAAUCAGGACUGUUACUUUGAAAAAAUUAGAGUGUUUAAAGCAGGCUUUAGCUUGAAUACAUUAGCAUGGAAUAAUGAAAUAGGACGUUCGAACCUAUUUUAUUGGUUUCUAGGAUCAACGUAAUGAUUAAUAGGGAUAGUUGGGGGCAUUAGUAUUCAAUUGUCAGAGGUGAAAUUCUUGGAUUUAUUGAAGACUAACUACUGCGAAAGCAUUUGCCAAGGAUGUUUUCAUUAAUCAAGAACGAAAGUUAGGGGAUCGAAGACGAUCAGAUACCGUCGUAGUCUUAACCAUAAACUAUGCCGACUAGGGAUCGGAUGAUGUUAAUUUUUUAAUGACUCAUUCGGCGCCUUAC
rnacentral:rRNA from 1 species